rnacentral:rRNA from 1 species
CCAGAGAACUUAGCAGAGAUGCUUUGGUGCCUUCGGGAACUCUGAGACAGGUGCUGCAUGGCUGUCGUCAGCUCGUGUUGUGAAAUGUUGGGUUAAGUCCCGCAACGAGCGCAACCCUUAUCCUUUGUUGCCAGCGGUUAGGCCGGGAACUCAAAGGAGACUGCCAGUGAUAAACUGGAGGAAGGUGGGGAUGACGUCAAGUCAUCAUGGCCCUUACGAGUAGGGCUACACACGUGCUACAAUGGCGCAAACAAAGAGAAGCGACCUCGCGAGAGCAAGCGGACCUCAUAAAGUGCGUCGUAGUCCGGAUUGGAGUCUGCAACUCGACUCCAUGAAGUCGGAAUCGCUAGUAAUCGUGGAUCAGAAUGCCACGGUGAAUACGUUCCCGGGCCUUGUACACACCGCCCGUCACACCAUGGGAGUGGGUUGCAAAAGAAGUAGGUAGCUUAACCUUCGGGAGGGCGCUUACCACUUUGUGAUUCAUGACUGGGGUGAAGUCGUAACAAGGUAAGCGUAGUGCU